AGCGAACGCUGGCGGCAGGCCUAACACAUGCAAGUCGAACGAACUCUUCGGAGUUAGUGGCGGACGGGUGAGUAACACGUGGGAACGUGCCUUUAGGUUCGGAAUAACUCAGGGAAACUUGUGCUAAUACCGAAUGUGCCCUUCGGGGGAAAGAUUUAUCGCCUUUAGAGCGGCCCGCGUCUGAUUAGCUAGUUGGUGAGGUAAAGGCUAACCAAGGCGACGAUCAGUAGCUGGUCUGAGAGGAUGAUCAGCCACAUUGGGACUGAGACACGGCCCAAACUCCUACGGGAGGCAGCAGUGGGGAAUCUUGCGCAAUGGGCGAAAGCCUGACGCAGCCAUGCCGCGUGAAUGAUGAAGGUCUUAGGAUUGUAAAAUUCUUUCACCGGGGACGAUAAUGACGGUACCCGGAGAAGAAGCCCCGGCUAACUUCGUG
rnacentral:rRNA from 1 species